rnacentral:rRNA from 1 species
GAUGAACGCUGGCGGCGUGCCUAAUACAUGCAAGUCGAGCGAACAGACGAGGAGCUUGCUCCUCUGACGUUAGCGGCGGACGAGUGAGUAACACGUGGAUAACCUACCUAUAAGACUGGGAUAACUUCGGGAAACCGGAGCUAAUACCGGAUAAUAUAUUGAACCGCAUGGUUCAAUAGUGAAAGACGGUUUUGCUGUCACUUAUAGAUGGAUCCGCGCCGCAUUAGCUAGUUGGUAAGGUAACAGCUUACCAAGGCAACGAUGCGUAGCCGACCUGAGAGGGUGAUCGGCCACACUGGAACUGAGACACGGUCCAGACUCCUACGGGAGGCAGCAGUAGGGAAUCUUCCGCAAUGGGCGAAAGCCUGACGGAGCAACGCCGCGUGAGUGAUGAAGGUCUUCGGAUCGUAAAACUCUGUUAUUAGGGAAGAACAAAUGUGUAAGUAACUAUGCACGUCUUGACGGUACCUAAUCAGAAAGCCACGGCUAACUACGUG